UCCGAGCACGCGCGCGGGGGCCGGUCCUGCAACCGCCGCUCCCGGGAACAGGGCGGCCCCUCCCGGGAAGCGGGUCGCCGCCGCCGCCUGGACUCGGAAGCGCUGAGCGGGUUGUUGGGGACUCGUGGCCCGUCCCGGGACCGCCCGGAGAAACUCUCCGUGUGUCUGCUUGGACCCUUUGUCACAAGGAACAAUGCUGCCCUGGUGGGAACUGUCUUUUUACCUGUGUGCUUCACUAGGCUUCCACUUCUAUUCUUUCUAUGAAGUUUACAAAGCUUCCAGAGAACAUGAAGAGGAGCUGGACCGACAGUUUGACCUGGAGAUUGGCACUUUAUUUGGAGGAUUAAAGAAGGACCCAAAUGACUUCGAAUGGAGCUUCUGGAUGGAAUGGGGAAAACAGCGGCUGGUGCGGUUUCUGUUUGGCCACAUGGUUGUGUCUCAGAUGGCCAAUGUGCUUGCAAGAAAGCACAGACCCUGGAUCCUGGGGGCUUAUGGAAUGUGGGCCUCCUGGUGUGUGCUGGGGGCCCACGGCACAGCCAUUAUUUUUCUCCACACCCUCAUCUCCUUCUGUGUAGCCCAGCUCCGGUCACUGGCCCUCACAUGGCUCUGUUCUCUCUUCCUGCUCUCCACACUGAGGCUGCAAGAUGUGGAGGAAGUUAAGAGAGGGUGGUACCAGACAGAAAAUGAGUACUACCUACUGCAGUUCACGUUGACCGUGCGUUGCCUGUACUACACCAGCUUCAGCCUUGAGUUCUGCUGGCAGCAGAUGCCGAACGGGCACAGCUUCUACUCCUUUCCCUGGCUGGUGGCCUAUGUCUUCUAUUACCCCGUCUUCCACAACGGGCCUAUCCUCAGCUUCCCGGAGUUCAUCGCAAAGGUGCAGCAGCAAGAGUACUGCUCGCUGAAGUCCAACCUUUCCGCCUUUGCCGUGGGGCUGGGUCGCCUCCUCUGCUAUUGGUGGUUGGCAGAGCUGAUGGUUCACCUCAUGUACAUGCACGCCAUCUACAGCAGUGCCUCUCUCCUGAAGGCUGUCUCUUGUUGGACCUUAGGAGGACUGGCAUUGGCCCACGUGCUCUUUUUCUACCUGAAGUACUUGGUGCUCUUUGGUGUCCCAGCUCUGCUCAUGCGCCUGGAUGGACUCACGCCGCCACCCCUCCCUCGCUGUGUGAGCACCAUGUUCAGUUUCACAGGCAUGUGGAGGUAUUUUGAUGUUGGACUGCAUGAUUUCUUAAUCAGUGACAGUUUUCAUUUGAAAGAGUAUUUUGUGAAGAAUCAGAACUAUGGUCUGCAGAAGGUAUGUGUACAUUCCGGUAGGCGGGUCCCAGCAUGGCCUGCUGGGGACACUGUUUUCCACCGCUGUGACGUUUGCAUUUGUGAGCUUCUGGCAUGGUGGCUAUGACUACCUCUGGUGCUGGGCAGCACUCAACUGGCUGGGAGUCACCGUGGAGAAUGUAGUCCAGAGGCUUGUGCGAACCCCGUGCAUCCAGGACAGCGUGAUUCAGUUCCUCUCCCCACAAGCCCGCCGUCGAUUCCACGCUGCCCUCGCAUCUUGUUCCACCUCCAUGCUGAUCUUGUCCAACCUGGUGUUUCUCGGGGGCAGUCAAGUUGGGAAAAUCUACUGGAACAGGAUCUUCAUACAAGGCUGGCCAUAUGUGACCCUCUCUGUCCUGGGAUUCCUGUACUGCUACUCCCAUGUGGGCAUUGCCUGGUCCCAGACAUACUCAGUGGAUUAAUGCUGCCCAGCCCAUGGCAGCCCUUCCUGCUGGCCUUCAAGGCAAAUGGUGCUUCACCCUGACCUCGCAUACCAAGAUAACCUCCAAGGAACCACUGUUUGAUCUGCUCAUCUUUUAUUGAAGUUACCUCACUCCAAGAGUGGGAGCUUGAGCUCUCAUAGAAAAUUGACAACCAGAGAGUCUUCUAACUUUGGGAACCCAGAGUUCAUCCCCCUCAGCCCUGUCAUUCUCCUGUUGAGUAUCUUACCCAGCUGCACAUGAUGACUGUGUGGUCUAGAACCCAGUCCUAAAGGCCCUUGGGGUUUCUUCCACUUUACCAAGAAUUAAAUACAAUAGACAUUUCUCAAUUGGAGUGCAGAAGUCUUGAUUAGUGAUAAGGCCUGUCCUCCACUGGGCGUAUUUCUGAAACAUUUUGGUAACAUUUAAGUGACCUCUUCCCUAUGUCCUACAAUGUGGUCUCUAGAACCAGCACUGGGGUCUAAGCUUCACACUUUAGCUCCCCAACAGGGAAGGGACAAAGCCACAGUCCAGUUUCUCAUUACCCAGUUAAAGAAGAUCCAACAUAUCCUAUAGUGUUCCAAGGGGUCAGUGGCUAAGGAGAUCUGUUACUGGAACACGACCGUGGUGAUCCACAUUUGGAUGCUCGUUCCCUAGAUUUGCCGAGAAGUAUAAACACGCCAGUUCCUCUGCCAGCCAGUUAAUCGUCAUUUCCCAAUAAAGAAGCAGAAUUAAGGAACCAGGGCAUAGCACAUCCACAGACAGGUGUUAUCAAGGAUGGUUUCCUGCGGUCUUUUUUCCUUUCCAUUGAAAUAAGUCCCAGCAGCUGACUUCCUGCUCAGUGAUUUACACUCAGUGGUUUACAUUGUUUUGUUUCAAAUAAAAUGGAGCCUUUUCUGUCA